ACCCUAAUUCCACCUAUCUCUGCGCCCUCUCUCCCUUAUCUCCUUCUCUCCCGAUCUGGGCGGCGGCGGCGGCGGCUCCCGUCCUCUUCCUCCACUCCUCUCCCUCAGAUUGAGCUCCGCCCAGAAGUAGAGGCUACGAGGCCAUCAAUCUGUGUGCGUCUAGCCAUGGAGGGCUCCCCCCACUCGCGCUCCUUCUCCGCAUGGAGCGCUACCAGCCCACACGGUGUAGAUCCACUACCCCUGCGUCCUCCCCACGCCGGCCGCCGGUGGCUGCCGCAUAGAUCCGUUCCUCCCCCACCUGCUGCACGCGAUGGCGCACGCUACCAUGCCGUUUUGGUGCUGCCCAGACCGCUGCCCCUACCCUCGCGCUCUAGGCAGAGGCUCAUUCUUCUUGGUGGUGACUACACGUUCCUCCCAGGUGGUGGCGCUCUCUGCCUGCUGUCUUGCGUUUCUCCCAGCGGCUGUGCCCUUUGACCACUACCUCGAAUCAGUUUCGACAAUGGACAUUUGAACAAAAUCAUAUACUAGAGACUGCUUGUAUUAUAAUAGAAGGUAAACUUACCAAUCGAACAGAGUGAACAAUACUUGUAUUAGAGUGUAUUGCAUGUGCAUUGUGGUCACUAGUAUCAAUCCAUAGAAAUUACACUAUAUAAUGAUGGAUGAAACAAAUGGAACCUAUAUCCUGACCACUACUAUAUUGUAGCUUCUAAAACACUUGUAUGCACAGAUAGUUUCUCUUGUUUUUUAUAACUGAUACAUUAUUGAGAUAAAUCUCGCUCAGUUUUUAUAGUGGGGAAGGAAAGCUUCAAGAUGUUCCAUUUAAAGUGAUGAUAUCUAUUUGAAAAUAAAUUCAUGUGCAUACCUCCUCAAUCCUUACAUUAGCAUGUCUCCGUUUCUCUUAUUCAAGAGAAGCGUGAAACAAAGCACUCAUUCAAAAUUCUAUGCUAUCAGAAAUAAGGUCAUUAAUAUUCAGAUAUAUGCAUGUAAACUUGGCCAGUCAAUCAUCAAAUACACACACAUACACACGCACGCACGCUGGAAGGUGGUGUUCAUGUUUGACAAAAUUGUACUUGCGUAGCAAUAGUUCCUGCAACAACUAAAGUGUUCCUGAUCCAUUGUGGGGCGUUGCUAGGCCUUGAUUUUGACAUUUAUAAAGUAUUGCUCAGAUCUGUUUGGUUCAGAUUUUGACUUUAUUUUUCAGCUACAUUGUUCCUGUUAUCCAUUGCGAGGCAUAUAAAUGCUUUGAUUUUGACUUUAUUUUUCAGCUGAGUACAGCUAGUAUUGAAUAAAAGUUGGACAGAUGCAGAUAGGUAAGUGUUAUCAAUAUGAUGGUUUAUGAUCUACCAGUGCAAGCAAUCACUAUUGAUGAAAUAAUUAUGAGAACUUUUCUUGUAGAGUAUAAUAGAUAUUUUAUAUGCAACUAUUCAGUUGACUUGUGAAGGAAUAGCUAAUGUCAUGCUUGAAUAACUGGGUUGUUUUCAUGACCUUAACAGUGCAAAGCUAUGAAGCUGUCAUGCUUGUAUAAGUGGGCAGUACAUAAAGCUGCUGUUAUGACCUUAACCAUCCAAAACCAAAUUACUCUCAAACUAGAGAGCAAGAAAUUAGGAGAUAGUUUCCUGUAGAAUAAUAGUUCCUGUAUGUGCAGCAAUUCAAUUGCCCUGUGAAGUAAUAGUUGAUGCCAUGCUUGUAAGUGGGUUGGUUUCAUGACCUUGACAGUGCAAAGCUAUGCACGUAACGUUCACAUUUUACUUUGAGUUUCCCUUCAGCAAUUACUUGUGAAUGUUUCAGCACUGAACUGUAUUUGGCUGAGUAUAUUAAUAUUCAAACUUGUUUGUGUCGCUUUCACUAUUUUGUGAGCCUUUAAUCGCUCUAGUGUUCACAUCUUCUAUCUUGGAUACUAUAUCUUUUAUUUGAUCUGACUGGACGCUUAUUUAUGAUUAUCACAGAUAAAAAAUAUAUUUUGUUAUGUUUGUUGUCGAUUUCCUUAAGAAAUAAAGUAGUUGCUGCCUGAAUCAGAUAAAUUAUUUUAAUAUUCACUUCACCAAUGGAACAUUUCCCUGACUUGUGUUAUUAAUGUAGUCUGACCAUCUUUAUUUCCAACAACAUAUACUAUUAGCAGAUGUUGGAAUUCAUAUUGGCUUUAUACAAAAGAAAAACUUUUCUUAUAGUAUUGUUCUAUUGGUGAAGUGAAUAUUAAAAUAAUUUAUCUCAAGGAGAAACUGAAAGAAUUCCAGAUCUUGAUGAAUGUGUACUAAGGUUGUGAGGAUCUGAAGAAACCCUUUUUCCGUUGCAUGUAGUGGAGCAAGAUUUCUUAUAUCUGGGUGAGGGCAUCAAUCAAUGUUGGGAUAAGCAAUCUCAUCACUACAAUAUAUAGCUACCACAGUGGACCAGGCGCGUUCUUGAGCAUAGCUAGAUGGAAAAACAUCUUUCGUGAGCUGGCAUGUGAAGGAAACAAACCAAAGGAGUGCAUUCACACGGAGCCAUGAAGCCAACGAUCUACGUCAACUAGAUGUUUUCGAUUUCAUUUUGUACAACUGAUGUCUCAUACUUGCAUCUUUUACCUGUCCUUCUGUGAACUUGAUGUAUGGUGUCUUGGUGGUAAUGUUUAGAACAUACUGAAGUGUAUGUAUCUGACAAAUAGUUAAUGGAAUAAAAAAAUGUUUGGUGCACCUGAUA